UUCCAUAGCUACUGGUGUACACUUGUUCUUAUAUUGACAGUUUCAGCAUUCCUCUGUGGGAAAGAAACUGUUAACAUGAUUAAACAUCUCUUUCCUAGCAAAACGGAAAGUGGGCAUAUAUGUGACAAACACAA